AAAAAAUUCAAUGCGGUAGAGAAUCCAGGGGAAGUGAUGAUGUGGCUCCAACAUGGGUACGAUGAGGAUGGGAAGUUGGGAAGUGGUAACAUGUGUGACGUUGCUGAGUUGGGAAGUGAAUGAUGAGGAUGGGAAGUGGAUGGAUGAUGGGAAGUGAAUGAUAUGAGGAUGGGAGAUGGUUGAAAUUUGCUAGUGAACCAGUUGAAACCACCCGUGUUACUGUAGCACGGGUGUGUUUUCGCCAAAUUCGGUGACUCUCUCUAGACACGGGCAACCGUUGAAACCACCCAUGUUACAAGCGUGUCUUUGUUUAAAACUCAACGACUCUCUCUAGACAUGGGCGACCGUCAUGAACCGUGUUCCUUAAAAGGGGGUGUACGCAGUGGCUUCAAAAACGGAUCGGUGACUCGGAUCGGGCACCUUAAAAAUCCAUCCGGAUUGAAAUGAUGGGGAAGUUGGGAAGUGAUGGUUGAAAAUUGCUAGUGAACCCGUUGAAACCACCCGUGUUACUGUAGCACGGGUGUGUUUUCGCUUAAAACUCGGUGACUCUCUUUAGACACGGGCAACCGUUGAAACCACCCGUGUUACAAGCGUGUCUUCGUUUAAAACUCAACGACUCUCUCUAGACAUGGGCGACCGU
rnacentral:lncRNA from 1 species